CAGAAAAGCAUCGGAGUAAAACAACCAUCUCUGAUGACAAAAGACUUAAAAUGGCUGUGAAGAGCUCUAUUAAUUCCUCAAAUAUUCAUUGCUCUAUUUUUUAUCUCCUUUUAUAACUCCUACUGCCAGGCUAUUGGCCUUUCUACUUCUAUCCUCUCCCCGACAUUCCCAUCUUAGUAAAUGACUCCACAAGUACUUCAGCUCCCAUUCAAGGACCUUGGAUUACACUUGUGUCCUCUCUCUUACUCAACAGCCCAUCCUAUGCCAAGUCUCACCAAUUCUUCUCUCUCUCUACACACACACAUAUACAAACUUACUUAUAAACAAUUAUUUCAAAAAAUCUCUCUUCUGAGGUUCCAGCUUUCUUCUUCUUCUUUUUUUUUUUUUGAGACUGAGUCUCGCUUUGUCACCCAGGCUGGAAUGCAGUGACACAAUCUUGGCUCACUGCAAUCUCCGCCUCCUGGUUUCAAGUGAUUCUCAUGCCUCAGCCUCCUGAGGAGCUGGGACUACAGGCAUGCAUCACCACGCCCAGCUAAUUUUUUUGUGUUUUUAGUAGAGACAGGAUUUCACUAUGUUGGCCUGGCUGGUCUCAAACUCCUGACCUCAGAUAAUCUGCCCACCUUGGCCUCCAAAGAGCUAGUAUUACACGAUGAGCCACUGUCCCCAGCCUCUCUCUCUUUUUUUUUUUUUUUGAGACAGGGUCUUACUCUGUCGCCCAGGCUAGAGUGCAGUGGUAUGAUCUUGGCUUACUCAACUUAUCUUGCCUGUGACCCCAGGCAGAAGCCUCUGGAC
rnacentral:lncRNA from 1 species